rnacentral:rRNA from 1 species
AGAGUUUGAUCCUGGCUCAGAAUGAACGCUGGCGGCAUGCCUAACACAUGCAAGUCGAACGAAGCCUUCGGGCUUAGUGGCGCACGGGUGCGUAACGCGUGGGAAUCUGCCCUUGGGUUUGGAAUAACAGUUAGAAAUGACUGCUAAUACCAAAUGAUGUCGCAAGACCAAAGAUUUAUCGCCCAAGGAUGAGCCCGCGUGAGAUUAGCUAGUUGGUGAGGUAAAAGCUCACCAAGGCGACGAUCUCUAGCUGGUCUGAGAGGAUGAUCAGCCACACUGGGACUGAGACACGGCCCAGACUCCUACGAGAGGCAGCAGUGGGGAAUAUUGGACAAUGGGCGAAAGCCUGAUCCAGCAAUGCCGCGUGAGUGAUGAAGGCCUUAGGGUUGUAAAGCUCUUUUACCCGGGAUGAUAAUGACAGUACCGGGAGAAUAAGCUCCGGCUAACUCCGUGCCAGCAGCCGCGGUAAUACGGAGGGAGCUAGCGUUAUUCGGAAUUACUGGGCGUAAAGCGUACGUAGGCGGCUUUGCAAGUUAGAGGUGAAAGCCUGGAGCUCAACUCCAGAACUGCCUUUAAAACUGCAUCGCUUGAAUCCAGGAGAGGUGAGUGGAAUUCCGAGUGUAGAGGUGAAAUUCGUAGAUAUUCGGAAGAACACCAGUGGCGAAGGCGGCUCACUGGACUGGUAUUGACGCUGAGGUACGAAAGCGUGGGGAGCAAACAGGAUUAGAUACCCUGGUAGUCCACGCCGUAAACGAUGAUAACUAGCUGUCAGGGCACUUGGUGCUUUGGUGGCGCAGCUAACGCAUUAAGUUAUCCGCCUGGGGAGUACGGCCGCAAGGUUAAAACUCAAAGGAAUUGACGG